AAGGCUGAAACUCAAAGGAAUUGACGGGGGCCCGCACAAGCGGUGGAGCAUGUGGUUCAAUUCGACGCAACGCGAAGAACCUUACCUGGGCUCGAAGCGCAGUGGAAUCCGGUGGAAACAUCGGAGCCCGCAAGGGCUGCUGCGGAGGUGCUGCAUGGCUGUCGUCAGCUCGUGUCGUGAGAUGUUGGGUUAAGUCCCGCAACGAGCGCAACCCUUAUCGUUAGUUGCCAUCGGGUUAUGCCGGGCACUCUAGCGAAACCGCCUCGGAUAACGGGGAGGAGGGUGGGGAUGACGUCAAGUCCUCAUGGCCUUUAUGUCCAGGGCUACACACGUGCUACAAUGGCCGGUACAAACCGUCGCAAACCCGUGAGGGGGAGCUAAUCGGAAAAAGCCGGCCUCAGUUCGGAUCGGAGUCUGCAACUCGACUCCAUGAAGCUGGAAUCGCUAGUAAUCGCAGAUCAGAACGCUGCGGUGAAUACGUUCCCGGGCCUUGUACACACCGCCCGUCACAUCACGAAAGUGGGUGAUACUAGAAGUCGUUUCGUCAACCCGCAAGGGGGACUGACGCCCAAGGUAUGACUCAUGAUUGGGGUG
rnacentral:rRNA from 1 species